UAAAGUAAAUAUCCUUGAAUAUUAGUGAGAGUAGAAAUUUGAACUAUAAUUUAUAGACUUGAUCUAGGAUAAUCCGAGCGGAUAUCUAAUUGUGAACAUUAGUAUUCUUAUGGUGGUAAUAUUACAUAUUUAUGUUUAAAAAAGAAAAACAAUUCUUAUAUAACCUAAGAGUCAAUAAUGGAACUUAAACCCAUUUUGAUUAAAUAUUUAAUAUAAAUUAUCAACAGACACGGACAGAUUAACAAAUUAGGAUUUUGGUAUUAUAACCUUGACGGGGCCAAAAAAAUAAAUUUAACAUAAAAACGAAGGCUAAAUUUCAUUGAGACUUGUUACAUUUUAAAUUUUUUUAUCGAAUUGGAGGCUUUAGUUCUAUUCUUAUACAAUUUGUAUCCUAAUUAGUGGUGGAACCAAGAACUUGAUUCAACAAGGUCUAUGAUAGAGAAAACGUAAAAACUAAAGUAGGCUAUAGCAUUAUAUCACUAACAUUGAAGAUUCUAACAGCAGAUGCUAUAUUGGAAAAAAAAAAAUCACAGAAUGUAGUAGUUUGCAACUCUGUCAAGCUGAGGUGUCGUGUAAAAUUUGCAUAGACAUGGUGAAAUUUUAAUUUAGACUUUUAUUUUUUCCUGUGAUUUAAGACCCUUUUUAGUAGGCCCAGGUCCUUGAGAGUCCAGGUGCCACUAUCCGAGGGCCGGUUUAGGCCGACCCACCAUGGACUCGGUCCGGGCUGUGCUUGAACUUGAUCCCAAAUUAAUUAGAAGGGCCACGUGUCAGGCCUGUGCUUUUUAUAAGGCUAGGCCUAACCGCGUACAUGAGCGGGCCUUAUUUCUAGGUCCUAACCACAGAGGAUGAGCUAAAGUCCUCCAAGCCUGGAUUGAGUUGGGCUAGGCCGCUCUCAGUCUUUUUGCCAUCUCUGCAAAAAAAAGCCCUAAACUUGCACAUAAUGGUGUGUCAUUAAUUAGAACUUACAUAUUACAUUACUCAUUAAUUAAGAGGCGCAUAGAUCACUGGCCACAUAUUCGCAUGUUUAGGUGGGAAAUCAAAGUUUGUAAUAAAAUUAAUAAUAGCUCCAAAUUGUUCGGUUCACCUAACAAUCAAAUAGUCUUUUCAAAAUUAUUAUCUUCAUUUGUUUUACACGGAUUAAUAAAAUACAAUACAAUAUUCUUUGUAUUAUUUGGUUUAAUUCCUGAAAUGAUCACUUUGAAAAGUUCGGUUGCCCGAAAUUUUACUAGUGAGACUAAGAUUGUGUUUCUUUUUAAUGCUGUAGUUUCCUUACAAUUGGAUUUAUAUUUAAGUGAUCAAAAUCUCAUUAUUAUUUAUUAUUAUAUAUGACUUUAUACCAAAUAUUCUUCAUGGUCCUUAGGUCCAUUGGUGUUUGACUACGAGAAUUCCAAGGCAAGUUUACCAAGGUUUUCCUUGAACCAGUACUCGUGGACAAAGGUGCCUUGCAUGUCCAUUCUCCCACUGCUCUGGUUUUAUGUAUAAAUUUGUGUGUUUGAGUAAUGAAUUAAUUUAUAAUUAGAAUUCAUUCUAUCGAUUAUCUUACUAAGAAGUUGUGAACAUUUUUCCAGGUUGCCAACAUUAUUUUUUUAGAUGCUCCUGUAGGUACCGGAUUCUCAUACGCCAAUAGUUGGGAAGGAUACAUCAUGAAUGAUACUCUUUCAGCAACACAAAUUUAUCACUUUUUAAGAAAGGUGAAGAUAAGAGAGGAAAAAAAAAUUACGCUCCAAAUUUCAUUAUUAGAGUAAAUUUUCGUUGGCCUUGCAUAUAGGCUUUUGCUGAAUUUCCAUAUCAGCGGCCUUGUAUUUGCUCAGAAUUAUAGAUCAUUAAUUUAACAUACUGAUUGUUAUUAUUAUUAUUAUUUGUUCUAAUCAGUGGCUUAUAGUUCAUUCUGACUUCCUCGCAAAUCCUCUCUAUAUUGCUGGUGAUUCUUAUUCAGGCAAAAUUGUUCCAAUUGUUGUUCAGGAAAUAUCUGACGGUAACUUGUAUACGUGAAUACUUGUUUAUGCAUCGAUUUUGGUUCAUUUUAUGUUUAUCAGAUCUUAAUUUCUCAAGUAGUCUAGUUGUUGUUGCAGGUAUUGAUGCUGGACACAAGCCAAGAAUGAAUCUGAAAGUAGGUGACCUAUCAUCAGAAAUGAAGUAUACUUUGAUUUCAUUUGUUUGAUUUACAUUUAGUUAGUAACUGUUCUUAGAUGCAUUAUCAAUUGAAGUAUUUAACGUUAACUAUUUUGAUAAUGGACUCAGGGAUAUAUGCUUGGCAACCCAGUUACGGAUGACAAAAUAGACCAAAAUUCAAAAAUACAGUUUGCUUACCUGAACGCACUUAUCACCUAUGAAAUCUACAAGGUGAAUUUUCCACCUAUGCGUUGAUUCUAAAUAGGACUAGGAUCUAUUUCUCAUGAGCAGAGCUAUCACAAACAAAAUACAAGUGGGUACGAUGGGUGCUUAUUAUAUAUGAAUAAUGUGGAUUUAUAACUCUAUUAUUAGAUAGAUAGCAAUAGUGUAAUUAUCAUGUUAAAUUGUUAAUGGUAAAAUAAUGAAGCUAAUUUGUAUUUGACAUACAAAGCAUUAAUUGAUAAAUGGCUGCACGUUAGUUGGAAUGCAAAUUUUGUAUCUCACCUUGUAACCACAUAACAUUUUUAAUUUAAAAUAUAUGGACAUGAAUGAAUGUUCCAUUUUAUAAUUUUAUUUGCAUUGUUGCAAGGUUUGUUUUUCUUUUUUUUUUUUGGGCUUGUUUUCUGAAGACAAGUGUUAAGAAUAUCCACUUAAUAACUUCUGAUUGUAUAACAAUUUCUCAUACUAGCUACUUUCAUAAGUUAAUCUAGUAUAAAUGGCAAAUCGUUCUAUAUUUUUAUUCGAUUUUUUCUUUUUUCUGGCUAGUUUUACUUGCUUUACUAAAAUAUUAUUCUAAAUUGUGCGCUGCCUUUUUUUUUUUUCUAUAUUACUUUUUACCCAGUCAGCCAAGAAGAAUUGCAAGGGUGAUUACGUAAAUGUAGACCCAGGAAAUUAUUUAUGCAAAGCCGAUCUUCAAAAUAUCUCAGCGGUACGUAAAGGAGUAACUAUCAUUUUGUUUAUUUGUUUAUUAUUUCUUAAUACUAUAAGUAGCACGCCAAAUUAUCUCACUGAUGCUUGAAUUUAUAGUGCACUGGAAAUGUAAAUGGAGGGAACAUAUAUGAACCUAAAUGUAGUUUUGUAUCCCCAAAACCAACACGAUUGAGCCCCCGAGAUGGUAGCGUCGUGGAAGAUGAAGAAGAUUAUUUAGAUUUGCUCUUUUUGCCAGCUCAGCCAGCUCCAAAACUUUGGUGUCGGGUAAAUUUCUGCACAUGCCUACAAUAUACUUUCCCCUAAUGCUAACGUGAGGCAGUUACCUACCUUAAGUUUUUUGUUGAACUGUUUAAUUAAUACAAUAUUAGAGCAAAUGGCUCACGAUCAAUUCUUUCAGCCAACAGUUUGGAAGAUAGUCGAAAUUUAUUAGGGAUAAAUAAAAAUUAAUCCUAAAAGGAAUCAAUUAAAUUUAGAAUUCCUCUUUUAUAUUUAUAUGAGUGUAUUGAAUAUUGGUGCUGUAUUUUUUUUUUUUUUUUAAUAGAUAUUGAUGCUGUAUUUAAGCUGUCAUAAUAUUUUUCAUUUUUGUCAUAUGUAUAUUUUAAUCAUAACAGUCUGUAUCCCAACAAUAUAUGUGUGUCUUAUGAUCUUAUUAAACUUUUAAUUGCUGUGAUACUCGUCAAUUAUAAGCUAAUAUGAUCUUGCUCUUUUAAAGCAUCAAAACUAUUUAUACGCUCCAACAUGGGCAAAUGACAAAACUGUCCAAAGGGCUCUUGGAAUUCAGGAGGUAUGGCAAAAGCUUAACCAUAACGUUAGUAGCAUACAAAUUUGAAAAUUAAUUUUACCAGAUACAUGUCUUUCCCAAUGACGAGCAGGGGAUGGUAAAAGAAUGGAGGAGAUGCAAUAAGAGUUUAUCUUACACAACAAAUGUCCUUAGUAGUCUUGAUUAUCAUCGCAACCUCAUCAAGAAGGGCUACCAAGUUUUGAUUUACAGGUAAAGUAAUAUAAUUAUAUAUAUAAUUUUUAUCAAAUUUGUCCCUAACUCUUGUAGGAAUGUGUCAAUGCCCAGGUUAUAUUGAAUUUUGAGUAUUUGACAGUCCCAAUGCAAGAAUAAGAAACUUAAUACUGAAGUUGUUUAUAUCAUUUCCAAAUGAAUUAGGGAAGUUAAACUCUAUUUUUUGAUCUAGUAAUAUUAUACUUACUCGGUUGGGAUAUUUAAUUUCUAUCUCGAUUGAUAGAUCACUAAUUAUUUAUUGUCAUGUAUUACCAAUCAUCGAUUUUAUUACUAACUAUGUUUACGUAUAUAUGUUUGCUUGAGUAUGGUUUUUAAAUCUUUGCAGCUUUCUUGAUGCAACUAAUAUUUUCUUCUCUUACAACAGUGGCGAUGUGGACAUGGAAAUUCCAUAUGUAGGCACAGAAACAUGGAUUAAGUCAUUAAAUUUGACGAUUGAUAGUGGCUGGCAGCCAUGGCUUGUGGACGGCCAAGUUGCAGGGUUGGUUUUAUUUUUUUUGUUUGAUUGAGUUAAUUUCUCUUUAUUCCUUAAUUAGGGUUAGACAUUAUUUUCCAAUUGGCCCUUAAUUUUUAUUAAAUGAUACGAAACAUUUUUUUAUUAAUAAAAAAAAAAACCCUGCAAAGGAACAUUUGACAUUAACAAAAGUAACAACUUAGAUGUUUUGCAGAUUUUGGAUGCGGUAUGCUGAAAAGAACCUUUACCGUUUGACAUUUGCCACAGUAAAGGCAAGACUAAUUUUCUGGCAAAUUAUGUUUAGACUGACAUUAACUAAUUAAAUACUGUGAUUUAAUUAGCAAAGCAGCUACGUGAUUAAAUUAUUUUGUAAUUGCGGGUUGUGUAGGGAGCAGGUCAUACAGCUCCAGAGUACAAGCCUAAGGAAUGCCUCGAAAUGAUUAACAGGUGGUUUGCCAUGUAUCCUCUCUGAAGCCAUGUUCAGUACUUUGAGAAUAUCCAAAUGUAUUGGAUUAUGUUGUAUUGUAUUAAUAUUAUAUUACAAUAAUUUUAUACAGUGUUUAGCGCUAUACUGUACUGUAUUAAUUUUAUAUAAUAUUAAAUUAAUGUUAUUUAAAUGUAUUAUUAGAUAAUUAAUUUUAUAUUAAUUAUUAAUAUAUAAAUAUAAUAUUAUUAAAUAAAUUAAUGAACUGGGAUUAACUAUAAUUUUAUAUUAAUUUCAUGAUUAAUCUAUUAUUAUGUAAGUUUAGUUUAAUUAUACAGAUUGCUGAUUUCAACAAUUUAAAAACUUCAACAAUCAAAACCUGACACCAUAAAAUUAAUGAACUGGGAUUAACAACAAAAGAAAUCUUAUGUUUUGACAAAAUCACAAGUAAAGACGGUUUGCCGUUGUCGUGCAUGCGUUUAUAAACUAUGAUUUCUGAAAUAAAUAAGUACUAGAAUAAGCGAUUGAUUUAUUGAAAUGUAUUUAGCAAAAUUUGAUGGUCACAAUAGUAGGUAAUUAACUGGGUACCACUGUUGGGUAGUGGCAAUUUUUGACAUGAUUUAUCAAUGCAAGGAACAUAAAAAAAGUUUACCAAAAUUUGGGUCCUAAAUGUUACGUUUCAUAUUUAUAACCAUAUUAUAUUUUAUAGUGCUUUUAAAAUUGUUUGAUUAUAUUUACAGAGAACCUAUUAGGGUAAGGAGAACAAAUUUAUGAAUGAUAUCCUUUAUUGCAGUUUUAAUAAAGGGAAAAGGACACAGAGACCCUCAAUGUGUGAAUAAGGGAUACAGAGACCCCCAACGUUUGAAAAAAGGACACAAAACCCCCUAAUGUUUAAAAAAAGACACUCAGACCCUCAUUUGUUAACAGAAAUUAUAAUUUUAAAGUGCAAUUACUAUUAUACCCUUAUAGCAUAUUAAAAAAUAAUUGUUCAUUGUCCAAUUUAUUCCUAUAUUAUUAAUAAAAUUACUAAUAUAACUUCAUUAUCCAAUUUUUCCAUUUAAUUUUUGUCAAAUUUUCUCUUCAAACUAAAUAAAUUUAAUCCAUUGCUCAAGAAUAAAAAUAAAUUAAAUUGAUUAUUAAUAUAAUAAAAAUAAAAAUUCUCCAUAUGUCAAUUUAUUGAAUAUGUUAUUUAGUACAAUUACGAUUUUGUAAUUAUUGUUGUAACCAAUUUUUUUAUUUUGUUGAUUAUAUAAGUUUAAAUGGAGAAUUGUUAUUUUUAUUAUAUUAGUAAUCAAUUUAAUUUAUUUUUAUUCUUGAGCAAUGGAUUAAAUUUAUUUAGUUUGAAGAGAAAAUUUGACAAAAAUUAAAUGGAAAAAUUGGAUAAUGAAGUUAUAUUAGUAAUUUUAUUAAUAAUAUAGGAAUAAAUUGGACAAUGAACAAUUAUUUUUUAAUAUGCUAUAAGGGUAUAAUGAUAAUUACACUUUAAAAUUAUAAUUUCUGUUAACAAAUGAGGGUCUGAGUGUCUUUUUUUAAACAUUAGGGGGUUUUGUGUCCCUUUUUCAAACGUUGGGGGUCUCUGUGUCCCUUAUUCAAACAUUGGGGGUCUAUGUGUCAUUUUCACUUUAUUAAACUUUAGGAAUUCUAAUGGUAUUGCCACUUCCAUAGAUUAACAUGACUUUACUACAAUCAUUAGAGAGGCAUAUACGAUGAGAAACUACUGGCCGGCCUUCUCAUGCGUGUGACAUACAACUGCUGUAAAUCGAACUGUUUUCCGAUGUAGCAAGAGAAACAUCCAGACAAAAUUUCUGUGGCCAUUAUCUCAGUUGAGGCGAUUUUAAGUCUCAUCAAACAAUUAUGUCAUAUGUGUUUGUGUAAUUAUUUCAUAAAUGUAAUAAUGAUUUUCCCAUUUAAACAUCACCACAUCACAAGCUGCUUUUACUGAUAAGAGGUUUAGAUUUUCAACCGAUCGAUAUUGCUUCGUAUAUAUUUAGAACCAGUGAUGUUGAAUGUCGAGGGAAUAUCAAUCUUCCUUAUAAUUUCACUAAUUUUGUGCUUCUCAUAAUCUUCCAAGACCAAGAUGCAUACUGAGUUUGUUAAUCACGACAUCGAUCUCACCAAAACCCUGAUUUAGGGUCCCAAGAAAUAGCUCUUACCUUGUUCAAAUCUGAGAAACAAACUUGAGGCAAAGUGUAAAUUGCAGCACACUCCAUUCUUUAAGUUAAUAGAAACCUCUUCAACAACAUCUGAUCUGUUUCUGUGAAGCCACACGCCAUGCAAAUUGCAAAGUAUAUAUAUGUUGAAUCAUACUUCACAGUAAAAUUUGCUUCAAGAUUAUUUUUAAGUAAGGGAUAUCGACAUGUCCCCAGUGAUCAGCUCACAACCUCCUGCAUGUGAGGAUUAUAUACAUCGUUAGUGUAGCAAACGAACAUAAUUAUAGAUUUGCUACUAAAAUAUGGCAUCUGGCGGGUCGCUUGAGCCGGUAUUUCUUUUAGUGACUUGUUCUUCAAUGUUGUAUUGCAGCCAAUUGCUUGACACAGAUGCAUGUUAAUGAAGUGGGGAUGUUGAAUUAAUGCAGACCACUGCUUGCAAACACACUUGAACCUUAUAACCGACUGAGGAUCCCAGUAACGUUCUCGAUCGAUACGGGGGGUUUUUGAUUUGGAAUCGAAGUCGAAUAAUUAUUUGUUUUCUUCCUUUGUGGCUCAUGACGCCGAAAUCUGCAAAUGAUUCCCAUGGUUGGCACCACCUGAUUAUGACGAUAGUAUCAAAAACAAGUAUUUAAAUUUAUAAGCCACUCGGCUCAGCCCGAGUGGCCAGGGCAGGAGGGCAGCAGUUCGAACCCCCACAAAAGCAUUCUGGGGGUAUUUCCUUCCUCAAUUAAUUGAGUGAAGGUAGUCUUCUCCCUUACCCAUGAGUGAGGAGUAGAUAUCCCUCGAAUAUUUGUGAGGGUUAAAAAUCUGGGCAGAGCUCUAUUAGCAUUGAUGUAAGUUGGUCCCAAUAAUAUUCUAAUUUGUAAAUAUCAGUUAUAGUCUCAUGUAAUAUGAAUUGUAAUCUGAGCAAUAGUCUCAUGUAAUAAAAAAAAAGUAUUUAAAUUUAUUAGUGUGCGGACUUCAUAAUGUCAACAUACAAACAUUUCUCUAAUAAACGUUAACUAGUUAUUAAAUGUAGAAGGAUGCUAAACGACAUACUUUAAGACUUAGAAAAGUAAUCAAUUAUUAAGGUCCGGUUUGACAUUGAGGUACUAUAACUUUUAAGUUGUAAUUGUUGUGGAAAAAAAACUGUAAUUAUAAAAUAAAAAUUAAUAAUAUGUAAUAAAUAUAAAUUUUAUCAAAAUUAUUAAAAAUAUAAUAAAAUUUUUAUUAUAUAAGUGAAAAAUCAUACUAACAUAACUUCUAAAUUAAAGCAACUAGUAUUUAUCAAACACUUUAAUACUAUAACUUUUAAGUUACAAUUGUCCAACCUCAAUCUCAAACGUAUCCUAAGUUGGAGGGAACAAUGUCCGAAUUUAAAACUCGAAUAUCUGCCGCCCACCAGCCUAUUUCAUUCAAGUAGAACCUAACUUAAUUUUUCUUAUGCAUUAUUACUUAUGCAUGCUCCAAUUAAUGUUGGGCGUAGGAAAGUAGCCAUGGUAAUAAAAACAUUUGAGGAAUUUGUAAUUUUAGUUAUUUAUUUAUUUAUUAUAUGUACAUAGUGAUGGUCGCACUAAUUAGUGGAUAUUGGCAAUUUGUCACAUGGUCUAACAAUGCAACAAACAUUACAUGGGUUAGCAAGUUUGGAUCCUAAAAUAUUACCUCUUGUGUCCGGUUUCAUUUUUUAUUUUUUAUUUUUCUAGAUGAAGUCCGAUUUCAGCUUAAAACUUAUGACAAUGAAUUUAUUUAUAGUACGAUUAACUUAUUAAUUAAAUUAUACCCGUAGACUUUAUUAUUUAAUUUGAUAUAACUAUAUUAUAUCUAUCGUAUUUUAAAAAUUGUUUAGUUAAAUUUAAUUCAAACUUAUUUGUGUGAGGAGAACAAAUUUAUAAAUGAUAUCUUUACUGUAGUUUCAUUAAACUUUAGGGGUUCUAAUGUUAUUACCACAUCCAUAAAUCAACAUGACUUUUCUACGGCCAUUAGAGAGGCAGCACGAUGAGGAAUCACCACCCUUCUCUAUCCAAACCCGAUGACGACCCGGACCCGAUUCGGCCACCCACGGCCAAUUUAACCCUCUCCGCCGGCGUCGGCCUCCGAAAGAAAGCAGCCGGGGUGCGCCCAUGGCUCCUUCUCGACUCAACCGGCCAGGCCCAGGUGGUGGAGGCCGGCAAGCACGCCAUCAUGCGGCGGACAGGUCUCCCGGCCCGAGACCUUCGGAUCCUGGAUCCGCUUCUCUCGUAUCCGUCAACCGUACUGGGUCGAGAACGGGCCAUAGUCAUCAACUUGGAGCACAUCAAAGCCAUUAUCACCGCCCAGGAAGUGUUGUUGAUGAAUUCAAGAGACCCUUCUGUUGUUCCCUUUGUUGAGGAAUUGCAAAGUAGGAUUUUGUGUCACUAUCAAGCCACUAAAUCUCAGGUUUUUUUUUUCGAUAGAAGUUUUUUUUUUCCUUUUUUUUUUCAAGUACCCAGUUCGUUUUUGUUACUGAGGAUAAAUGGUCGUGUUGGAUUAUUUGUGAUGAUAAUAAUUAGUAAUUGAGGUCGUAAAUUUGGAAUUUAUUAUAUGAGGAGGCAUCAGAAUUGUUUGUUGGAGGUGAUGUUAAUUUCUUAUAUAGAAGUUUAAUUAGAGUUAAGUAUUCUAUAGCCAAUUUUGGAUUCUAUAUUGUGAUGUGGUUUGAUUAUUUUAAUAAGGAAGUUGAUUAGAAAAGAAAUUGUUAGACUUUUAGUUGAACUUCAUAAUGGGGAAAUUAACAAAAUGGGCAUGGUAGUUGACAUUCUGUAAUGGGAAUAAACGUAAUUCUAUUGAGCCAAAUGAUGAUGCUCGUUGAUGUCUACUCCGUUUAAUGGGAAUACAGUAGUGUGAGGUCAGCCUUUUUGAUCUUUAACCUUUUUGGUCUUUUCAUGAGCAGUUGGCCAUUCUUUAAUCAUGCAGAUAAUCAAAGUUGGUAGUUUUAAUGCAGGCCUCCAACUUAAACUUUCUCUCAAAUCAAUUUAUGUAUAAUAUUUUCUUUUUUAACUUUUAUUCGUCUGCUUCCUCUUCUUAUCUGUGUUUUUUGUGUAGGAGAUCAAUGGUGAGGAUUCAAAUUGGACAAAUUUGUACGAUUUGGAAGCACCACAGUCAAGGACUUCCAGUCCCCAAAAUUUUUCUGGUGGCUUUCCACAGUUUGAAGAUGAAAAUGAGGAAAGAAAGGAAGAUGGGAAACAAAGUCUUGAGAAUCGAGAUGGAUCAAAGGUUCUUCCAUUUGAGUUUGUUGCUCUGGAAGCAUGUCUUGAAGCUGCUUGCAGUUGCUUGGAAAAUGAAGUAUUUACUCUUACUUUCUACUUUGAAUCUUUGUCUUUCCCUUUCUUUCAUCAUGUUGCUUUCUUUUCUCGUCUUCUAUCACGGUUUUCACGUGUUUUCUGCUUCUAAAUCAGGCCAAAACAUUAGAGCAAGAAGCUCAUCCAGCCUUAGAUAAGCUGACUUCAAAGAUUAGUACUCUCAAUUUAGAACGUGUCCGCCAAAUUAAGAGUCGCUUGGUUGCUAUAACUGGACGUGUUCAGAAGGUUGAGUAAUUCAGAUUUUUGAAGUAUAAAUGCUAGUAUUGUUUCCUCGUGGAGAGUUUGAUUAACCAAAGUACUCAUGUUCAUCUGCAGGUGCGGGAUGAAUUAGAACAUUUAUUAGAUGAUGAUGAAGAUAUGGCUGAGAUGUAAUGAUUUUCCCAUUUAAACAUCACCACAUCACAAGCUGCUUUUACUGAUAAGAGGUUUAGAUUUUCAACCGAUCGAUAUUGCUUCGUAUAUAUUUAGAACCAGUGAUGUUGAAUGUCGAGGGAAUAUCAAUCUUCCUUAUAAUUUCACUAAUUUUGUGCUUCUCAUAAUCUUCCAAGACCAAGAUGCAUACUGAGUUUGUUAAUCACGACAUCGAUCUCACCAAAACCCUGAUUUAGGGUCCCAAGAAAUAGCUCUUACCUUGUUCAAAUCUGAGAAACAAACUUGAGGCAAAGUGUAAAUUGCAGCACACUCCAUUCUUUAAGUUAAUAGAAACCUCUUCAACAACAUCUGAUCUGUUUCUGUGAAGCCACACGCCAUGCAAAUUGCAAAGUAUAUAUAUGUUGAAUCAUACUUCACAGUAAAAUUUGCUUCAAGAUUAUUUUUAAGUAAGGGAUAUCGACAUGUCCCCAGUGAUCAGCUCACAACCUCCUGCAUGUGAGGAUUAUAUACAUCGUUAGUGUAGCAAACGAACAUAAUUAUAGAUUUGCUACUAAAAUAUGGCAUCUGGCGGGUCGCUUGAGCCGGUAUUUCUUUUAGUGACUUGUUCUUCAAUGUUGUAUUGCAGCCAAUUGCUUGACACAGAUGCAUGUUAAUGAAGUGGGGAUGUUGAAUUAAUGCAGACCACUGCUUGCAAACACACUUGAACCUUAUAACCGACUGAGGAUCCCAGUAACGUUCUCGAUCGAUACGGGGGGUUUUUGAUUUGGAAUCGAAGUCGAAUAAUUAUUUGUUUUCUUCCUUUGUGGCUCAUGACGCCGAAAUCUGCAAAUGAUUCCCAUGGUUGGCACCACCUGAUUAUGACGAUAGUAUCAAAAACAAGUAUUUAAAUUUAUAAGCCACUCGGCUCAGCCCGAGUGGCCAGGGCAGGAGGGCAGCAGUUCGAACCCCCACAAAAGCAUUCUGGGGGUAUUUCCUUCCUCAAUUAAUUGAGUGAAGGUAGUCUUCUCCCUUACCCAUGAGUGAGGAGUAGAUAUCCCUCGAAUAUUUGUGAGGGUUAAAAAUCUGGGCAGAGCUCUAUUAGCAUUGAUGUAAGUUGGUCCCAAUAAUAUUCUAAUUUGUAAAUAUCAGUUAUAGUCUCAUGUAAUAUGAAUUGUAAUCUGAGCAAUAGUCUCAUGUAAUAAAAAAAAAGUAUUUAAAUUUAUUAGUGUGCGGACUUCAUAAUGUCAACAUACAAACAUUUCUCUAAUAAACGUUAACUAGUUAUUAAAUGUAGAAGGAUGCUAAACGACAUACUUUAAGACUUAGAAAAGUAAUCAAUUAUUAAGGUCCGGUUUGACAUUGAGGUACUAUAACUUUUAAGUUGUAAUUGUUGUGGAAAAAAAACUGUAAUUAUAAAAUAAAAAUUAAUAAUAUGUAAUAAAUAUAAAUUUUAUCAAAAUUAUUAAAAAUAUAAUAAAAUUUUUAUUAUAUAAGUGAAAAAUCAUACUAACAUAACUUCUAAAUUAAAGCAACUAGUAUUUAUCAAACACUUUAAUACUAUAACUUUUAAGUUACAAUUGUCCAACCUCAAUCUCAAACGUAUCCUAAGUUGGAGGGAACAAUGUCCGAAUUUAAAACUCGAAUAUCUGCCGCCCACCAGCCUAUUUCAUUCAAGUAGAACCUAACUUAAUUUUUCUUAUGCAUUAUUACUUAUGCAUGCUCCAAUUAAUGUUGGGCGUAGGAAAGUAGCCAUGGUAAUAAAAACAUUUGAGGAAUUUGUAAUUUUAGUUAUUUAUUUAUUUAUUAUAUGUACAUAGUGAUGGUCGCACUAAUUAGUGGAUAUUGGCAAUUUGUCACAUGGUCUAACAAUGCAACAAACAUUACAUGGGUUAGCAAGUUUGGAUCCUAAAAUAUUACCUCUUGUGUCCGGUUUCAUUUUUUAUUUUUUAUUUUUCUAGAUGAAGUCCGAUUUCAGCUUAAAACUUAUGACAAUGAAUUUAUUUAUAGUACGAUUAACUUAUUAAUUAAAUUAUACCCGUAGACUUUAUUAUUUAAUUUGAUAUAACUAUAUUAUAUCUAUCGUAUUUUAAAAAUUGUUUAGUUAAAUUUAAUUCAAACUUAUUUGUGUGAGGAGAACAAAUUUAUAAAUGAUAUCUUUACUGUAGUUUCAUUAAACUUUAGGGGUUCUAAUGUUAUUACCACAUCCAUAAAUCAACAUGACUUUUCUACGGCCAUUAGAGAGGCAGCACGAUGAGGAAUCACCACCCUUCUCUAUCCAAACCCGAUGACGACCCGGACCCGAUUCGGCCACCCACGGCCAAUUUAACCCUCUCCGCCGGCGUCGGCCUCCGAAAGAAAGCAGCCGGGGUGCGCCCAUGGCUCCUUCUCGACUCAACCGGCCAGGCCCAGGUGGUGGAGGCCGGCAAGCACGCCAUCAUGCGGCGGACAGGUCUCCCGGCCCGAGACCUUCGGAUCCUGGAUCCGCUUCUCUCGUAUCCGUCAACCGUACUGGGUCGAGAACGGGCCAUAGUCAUCAACUUGGAGCACAUCAAAGCCAUUAUCACCGCCCAGGAAGUGUUGUUGAUGAAUUCAAGAGACCCUUCUGUUGUUCCCUUUGUUGAGGAAUUGCAAAGUAGGAUUUUGUGUCACUAUCAAGCCACUAAAUCUCAGGUUUUUUUUUUCGAUAGAAGUUUUUUUUUUCCUUUUUUUUUUCAAGUACCCAGUUCGUUUUUGUUACUGAGGAUAAAUGGUCGUGUUGGAUUAUUUGUGAUGAUAAUAAUUAGUAAUUGAGGUCGUAAAUUUGGAAUUUAUUAUAUGAGGAGGCAUCAGAAUUGUUUGUUGGAGGUGAUGUUAAUUUCUUAUAUAGAAGUUUAAUUAGAGUUAAGUAUUCUAUAGCCAAUUUUGGAUUCUAUAUUGUGAUGUGGUUUGAUUAUUUUAAUAAGGAAGUUGAUUAGAAAAGAAAUUGUUAGACUUUUAGUUGAACUUCAUAAUGGGGAAAUUAACAAAAUGGGCAUGGUAGUUGACAUUCUGUAAUGGGAAUAAACGUAAUUCUAUUGAGCCAAAUGAUGAUGCUCGUUGAUGUCUACUCCGUUUAAUGGGAAUACAGUAGUGUGAGGUCAGCCUUUUUGAUCUUUAACCUUUUUGGUCUUUUCAUGAGCAGUUGGCCAUUCUUUAAUCAUGCAGAUAAUCAAAGUUGGUAGUUUUAAUGCAGGCCUCCAACUUAAACUUUCUCUCAAAUCAAUUUAUGUAUAAUAUUUUCUUUUUUAACUUUUAUUCGUCUGCUUCCUCUUCUUAUCUGUGUUUUUUGUGUAGGAGAUCAAUGGUGAGGAUUCAAAUUGGACAAAUUUGUACGAUUUGGAAGCACCACAGUCAAGGACUUCCAGUCCCCAAAAUUUUUCUGGUGGCUUUCCACAGUUUGAAGAUGAAAAUGAGGAAAGAAAGGAAGAUGGGAAACAAAGUCUUGAGAAUCGAGAUGGAUCAAAGGUUCUUCCAUUUGAGUUUGUUGCUCUGGAAGCAUGUCUUGAAGCUGCUUGCAGUUGCUUGGAAAAUGAAGUAUUUACUCUUACUUUCUACUUUGAAUCUUUGUCUUUCCCUUUCUUUCAUCAUGUUGCUUUCUUUUCUCGUCUUCUAUCACGGUUUUCACGUGUUUUCUGCUUCUAAAUCAGGCCAAAACAUUAGAGCAAGAAGCUCAUCCAGCCUUAGAUAAGCUGACUUCAAAGAUUAGUACUCUCAAUUUAGAACGUGUCCGCCAAAUUAAGAGUCGCUUGGUUGCUAUAACUGGACGUGUUCAGAAGGUUGAGUAAUUCAGAUUUUUGAAGUAUAAAUGCUAGUAUUGUUUCCUCGUGGAGAGUUUGAUUAACCAAAGUACUCAUGUUCAUCUGCAGGUGCGGGAUGAAUUAGAACAUUUAUUAGAUGAUGAUGAAGAUAUGGCUGAGAUGUAUCUGACUGAGAAGUUGAUGCAACAACUUGAGAACUCUUCAACUUCCUCUAUAAAUGAGAGAGAUGAUAUGGAUGAUGAAGUUCUUCAAUCAAAUAUGAAUAACAGGCACCUAAAAUUUUGCUUUCUCUUCGUUAACUGUCUUUUCAUUUUUUUCCCUUCCGUGCAUCUAAAUUUAUUGUCCUGUUUCAGGACUACUGCUGAAAUCUCAUUAGAAGCAACUGGGGGAUCAACUAGCUAUGAAGCAGAUUUUCAGAACACAGAGAACAUCCACGACAAUCUGUUUACUCAAAAUUUACAUAGCCGGGCCAGCCAUGGGACACGCACUAGUACCACUCACAGUGCUAUAAGCAAGCACCUCGAUGUUGAAGAGCUAGAAAUGCUCCUGGAGGCGUACUUUGUGCAAAUUGAUGGUACACUGAACAAGCUAUCUACGGUAAGGAACUCAAUUUCACCACUCAAUUUCGGCCUGCUCCCAUUGCUAGAGCAGUUGAUAUGGUAAUUGAUUAAUUCAACAGUGUAAUAAGGUAAAACAAUGAUUAAUGGUUUUGUCUUCUGACCAAAGCAGUUUCAUGCCAAAGUCAUCGGCUACUGCAGUUUCAUCUGAUAUUGCUAUUAUAUGAGGCUUCAUGGUCUAAACUGGUUUCUGCUGUAAUAAAAUUCUAGCAUUUAAAUACAUAUGUAUAAGUAUACAUAUUACAAGAAUAUGGCACAAUAACAGAGUUGUAAUUCUCCUGGAUUUUCAUCUUGCUUUCUAGACUAAUUCAGAUCAUUAAGCUUAUGUCCCUGUGCAUGCACACUUUCUUUCUCAAAGCAUGCUUCCGCACAGUUCUUAUCGAACUGAGAAGAAAUGCUCUGACACACUGAAUUCUCUAACUGCAAUGUUCUCAUUCGACCCAUCAUUUGGAAAUUCAUGGUCCACACAACUGAAAAGUUAUAUUCUUUAUUUAUGCAUUUUCUUAGAUCUCGUAAUGUGUAUUCCAUAAAAUGUGACACCACAGAGGGUGUAUAUUCUUUGUCUACUUGUUUUUCUGGUCCUGUACUCCAUCGUAUUAUACUUUAUAUAGGUAUACAUUUCAGUGUUGAUAUUUGACUUUAGUUUAUAAAUCAAUUCCUUUUGUUAGGUUAUGCGUUGAUGCUCUUCAUGAAUUUAUUUCUUACCAUUUGCUUUUGUUUGUUGGAAGCUGAGGGAGUACGUUGAUGAUACAGAGGACUACAUUAACAUAAUGCUGGAUGACAAACAGAAUCAUCUUCUGCAAAUGGGGGUCAUGCUAACGACAGCAACCCUUGUGGUGAGUGCAUUUGUUGUUGUGGCUGGUAUUUUCGGGAUGAAUAUCAACAUCGAGCUGUUCGAUGAGCAUAAAUCAGGGAUGCAAGAGUUUCUCUGGACUGUUGGUGGCGGCGCCACUGGCAGCAUAUUCCUAUAUGUUGUUGCCAUUGCCUGGUGCAAGCACAAACGUUUGCUGGAGUAAUAUAAUCCUGCUGUGUAUCAGAAAAGAAGCAAUUGAUUUCAGGAGCUGUUGUGUCGAUGGAUUUACUAUGUACAAACAUAAACGCACCCUUUGAUAAGCUGGAGCAUGCAUCCUGUUUUUUGUGAAUACUAUGAGAUAUGCUUCGAGUGCAGGGAACAUUAAUAUUUAAUAUUUAAUACACUUUCUACGUGCCUGAAGAUUCGUAAUUGAUAAUGUAACGUGAUCACUAUAAACUAUUCUGAUGAGCAACGUAGCAGUUGACGGAAACGUAUUUUUAAUAAAUAUCAUUAGUUCGCUUCCAAAAGUUUUCGUUUCGACUCUUGUCAAUGAUGCUGCCACUCUAUUAAUUAAUUAAAAUUUUCAGAUAUCUUGCAAUUAAACAAAUUUAUCUGCAGUCAGCGUACUACAAACGGAUCAAACAGCAUUGACCAUGAGAAUCUACCCGCCACGAUCUAGACCUGAACAUGAAGACAACCCUGAUCCGACGCAACAGCCCACCACUAACCUGGCAGUCACCUCGGUUGGGGGGAUCCGGAAGAAGGUAGCCGGAGUUCGACCCUGGUUGGUUUUAGAUUCAACAGGGCAGACGCAGGUGGUGGAAGCCGGAAAGCACGCCAUCAUGAGGCGGACGGGGCUGCCAGCCCGGGACCUUCGGAUCCUUGAUCCGAUGCUCUCAUACCCAUCAACUAUACUGGGUCGAGAAAGUGCCAUAGUCAUCAAUUUGGAGCAGAUCAAGGACAUCAUCACUGCACAGGAAGUCCUUUUGCUGAACUCUAGAGACCCUUCUGUUGCUCCCUUUGUUGAAGAGUUGAAAAGGAGGAUUUUGUGUCACUAUCAGGCCACUAAAGCUCAGGUUUUUUAUUUGGCUUCUUGAGUUUCUUUGUUCCUUUUCAGUUAUUUUUUUUUUUUAAGUACCCAAUAAUGAUUGUUAUUUUUACAUUGUUCUUGUUAUAACUCUUUGUUGUGCAUAGGAAGGCGAUGGUGAUAUUUCAAACUGGAAGAAUUUGUAUGAUUUAGGGACACCAGAAUCAAGAGCUUCCAGUCCUCCAGAUUUUGCCGGAACCGGCAUUUCAGAGUCUGAGGAAAUAACCGAGGAAAGGAAGGAAGAUGGGAAACAGGGUCUUGAGAAUCGAGAUGGACCGAAGGUUCUUCCGUUUGAAUUUGUUGCACUAGAAGCAUGCCUUGAAUCUGCUUGCAGUUGCUUGGAAAAUGAAGUAAUGUAUCCAACUUUCUGCAAAGAUAGAUUUACCUUUACAUUUUUGGCCUCCUUGUUAUGCUGUUUCAUUGUCUAUACUUCAACUCAUUUUUGGUUUCUAAGUUAGGCAACAACAUUAGAGCAAGAGGCUCAUCCAGCCUUGGAUAAGCUUACGUCAAAGAUCAGCACUCUUAAUUUAGAACGUGUCCGCCAAAUUAAGAGUCGUUUGGUUGCAAUAAGCGGACGUGUUCAGAAGGUUGAGUGGUUUCAAGCUUUUAAAUCAUUCAUUUGAUUUGCUGUCAUAGUGUGCUGUAUCUGCUGCUAUUACUUACAGUGAUGGAAAUAUGCUUCAAGUCUUUUGGUUGGUGAUACAUGCAUGUUCAUGUCCAGGUACGAGAUGAAUUAGAGCACUUGCUAGAUGAUGAUGAAGAUAUGGCUGAGAUGUAUCUAACUGAAAAGUUGAAACAGCAACUGAAGAGCUCUUCAACUUCCUCUAUGCGUGAGCGAGAUGAUGACAUGGAUGUCGAUGACAGGCAUCUAAUUAUCUUGAUAGCACUCUGUAAACUAACUUUUUAACCCCACUUUGCA
rnacentral:lncRNA from 1 species